GAUGAACGCUGGCGGCGUGCCUAAUACAUGCAAGUCGAGCGAACGGACGAGAAGCUUGCUUCUCUGAUGUUAGCGGCGGACGGGUGAGUAACACGUGGAUAACCUACCUAUAAGACUGGGAUAACUUCGGGAAACCGGAGCUAAUACCGGAUAAUAUUUUGAACCGCAUGGUUCAAAAGCGAAAGAAGGUCUUGCUGUCACUUAUAGAUGGAUCCGCGCUGCAUUAGCUAGUUGGUAAGGUAACGGCUUACCAAGGCAACGAUGCAUAGCCGACCUGAGAGGGAGAACGGCUAGACGGGAACUGAGGCACGUUCCACACUCCUGCAGUGGGAAGCAGUCGGGAAUCUUACGCGAUGGACGAGUGGCUGACGGAGCAACGCCGCGUGAGUGAUGAUGGACUUCGGCUCGUAGAACUCUGUUAUUAGGGAAGUAGAAAUGUGUAAGUAACUGUGAACAUCUUGACGGUACCUAAACAGAAAGCCACGGCUAACUACGUG
rnacentral:rRNA from 1 species